UCCCGGGAACCCUGCGGUGCAGACUGCAGGACGCGCGCGAGCAGCCCGAGACUCCCCGCACCCCGCCUGCACCCUGGGCUCGGCGGGACCGGGGCCCUGCCCCCUCCCCGUCCCUGGGCCCCACCCCCGACGUGCUGCGCGCUCGGCUGGCCUGUUGUUGGGUGACCUCCCGCCCUAGUCCCUCGCCCUGCCCCUGCGCUCCCUGCUGCUCGCUCAGGACCCCGCCUCUGCCCCUCUGGUCGUCAGACACGGGUCUCUCUGUGCCCCAGGACUCACGCAUCAGGGCGCACACGCAUGGAGCCGGGGCUCCAAUCUCCAUGGCGUGGGAUCGCGGUUUCCUGGACCAGCUUGGCAGCCCCGCGCUCCACACCUGGCUCCAGGACGGAAGAACGCAGAGUCCUCUGGCCUUGGUGCCCCGCACUCCGGGUUACUCUCUGCCACCAGUCCAGAGCCAGGACGUCCUGAAGGGCCUGGCUGAAUGAGACCCUGGCAGGAAGAAGGGACGACUGUCUGCUCUGCACGCUCCCAG
rnacentral:lncRNA from 1 species